rnacentral:rRNA from 1 species
UACGAAGGGGGCUAGCGUUGCUCGGAAUCACUGGGCGUAAAGCGCACGUAGGCGGCUUCUUAAGUCAGGGGUGAAAUCCUGGAGCUCAACUCCAGAACUGCCUUUGAUACUGGCGAUCUCGAGUCCGGGAGAGGUGAAUGGAACUGCGAGUGUAGAGGUGAAAUUCGUAGAUAUUCGCAAGAACACCAGUGGCGAAGGCGGCUCACUGGCCCGGAACUGACGCUGAGGUGCGAAAGCGUGGGGAGCAAACAGGG